UAAGGAAUAUUGGGCAAUGGACGCAAGUCUGACCCAGCCAUGCCGCGUGAAGGAUGAAGGCCCUCGUGGUCGUAAACUUCUUUUAUACGGGAAAAAUUCUUCGGUCGUGAAUCGAAGUUGAUGGUACUGUAAGAAUAAGCAUCGGCUAACUCCGUGCCAGCAGCCGCGGUAAUACGGAGGAUGCGAGCGUUAUCCGGAUUUAUUGGGUUUAAAGGGUGCGUAGGCGGAUUGAUAAGUCAGUGGUGAAAUCCAACAGCUUAACUGUAGAAUUGCCAUUGAUACUGUUAAUCUUGAGUACAGUUGAAGUGGGCGGAAUGUGUUGUGUAGCGGUGAAAUGCUUAGAUAUAACACAGAACACCUAUUGCGAAGGCAGCUCACUAAACUAAUACUGACGCUGAGGCACGAAAGCGUGGGGAGCAAACAGG
rnacentral:rRNA from 1 species